UUUCUGUGAUAAAAAAGAAAUAAGUCAGACGUAAAAAACCAAAACCAAAACAGGAUGUCAGCAAAGCAAAGAUAUCUGCAAUCAGCAGAAUAGCAACCGCAGAAAAGUCUGAGCUCGGGAAUAUUUAGCUAGGCUGGAGGCUUUCGGCGGCACAGCUGGGACCUGCUGGCAGGGCAGGGCAGCCCCCGGCCUGCGGGGAACCACAAGCAGCGCCGCGCGUUUCGGGAAAGGCAAGCGGAGCUAGGGCGGCCUCCUGACACCACGGGCUGCACGAAGGUGCUAACAACAAACCGCCCGCGUUGCAAUAAACCAGCAUAGCUGCUUUCCACCCGCAGAAGCUGCUGCCUUCGCAGAAGUGUCUCGGGCUGCUCCAACCCUCGUCCCCUCCCCUGACCACGAAAGCCCAUCCGAAGCCUCUGGGGUCGAGCCCCUGGCCCGACCGGCCCUGCAGACUUUCACUUCGGCCGGCUCCACGAACUGCCCCCACCUCCGAUCCAAGCGCGACCCGCAGCCACAGGCCCGGGUAUCAGCCUGCACUUCACAAGUGAACACCACGGAAGCGCCCGAGCCAAUAAAUCACCUGCCCACUGGGAAGAGGGGCCUCCCACUCCGGGUGUUGAAGACCCGCGGGACAAAUGCAGGGAAGGGCCAGACCUGGCCUGCAAGACCCAUCUGCAACCUCCUACUCUAGUCCUGCAGGCUCUGCAAGUUCCGAUUUCUCCCUCUGCUAGGAUAUGACUCAUCAAUGUCAAUUUUCAAUAUAAUUGAUAUAGUUCAGUGGGAACAGUCUGUGAGGCAUAAGAGAGCAGCACACACUCCUCUGGUAUGAAGAGCGACUUCUGGUACUUGACUUCUCCAUCAGUCAUACAGUCAACAGGCAUCCUAAGCUGCACACAGCAUCUCCACCAGAACUAGAACAAGAAAGAGCUCUGCCCUCAAGGAGUUCCAGUCAGCCCAGAGAAGCCAAUAGGUACGGAUGACUCUUGGGCCUGUAAGGAAAGCAGCAGAGGAACAAAGAGUGGGGUGGAGCUCCGAGGAGGAAGCUGCUCUGCUGGACUAAGGGGAAGUGACAAGGAAGCAUAAGCCUGUCAGGUGGGCUCCAGCUGGACUUCAAGUUGACCAGGAACGACAUAGGAACAUUCUGGAAGCUGCAAGGACAAGGUAUGCAGAAAAAGUGACUGCCUGCAGAAGAGACUGAGGCCAGUGAGGGUCAGGCUGCACAGAGCUCCCAGGAGCUGAGGGCAGACCAGAGGUUGGAGGAGGAGCUUUCCCUGGGGAGGCCCCAGUAUGGACCAGGAACACAGCAGAGCAGAGGCUGGCACAUUGCACUGGUAGAGGGUGAGGCUAUGGACUUACUUUAAUAAUUUACUGAACACUUAGCACUGGGAGGGACUCUGAAAAACCCUGCCAGGCCAUGUGCUAAACUGUGACUCGCUUUUAAAAGCAGGUAAGGCAGUGCCUGUACAGUUAGUCCAGAAUACUCUGGGGUACGACCUGACCAAGCAUAAAGAAGCAAGGAGCACCUCACCUGUACACCAAGGAACCCAGAAGACACAUGGACAACCGUGGCCUCUGGCAGUCCAGAACAUCUUCACACCAAGGCAGGAGGGCAUGGGACAGGUUACCAAGGGGAGGGGCAGCAUUUGUAGGGUUGGAGAGGCUCUGAGAAGAGGAGAUGGGCUGUGGGAGAUAGUCUGGGGGUGGAAUGCCAGACUGUGGUAUCAGAUGUAGGGUGAGUGCCCAGCAACACACAAGAUGUUCAUCAGAAGAGAGGAAAGGGGCUGGAUCUGGAACAUCCGGGUAAUGCGAAUGUGAGAAAUGUCAUUCAAACCAGUAGUGGUUAUUACAUACCUAUCACACCAUCCCCAACCUAAGGAAGUUCUAUCAUUACUCUCAUUUUACAGUGGUGGUGGCGCACGCCUUUAAUCCCAGCACUCAGGAGGAGGCAGAGGCAGGUGGAUCUCUGUGAGUUCGAAGGCUAGCCUGGCCUACAAAGCCCUUGUCUAAGAACAACUUUAAACUCUGCAGGACAGUGCUCGUCUGCCUGAGCUCUGACUUCACGGCCCUCCCUCUGUUUCCAUGUAGAUGUCUAAGGAUGCCAGUCUGUUGCCAAGAUUCAUUUCAAAUACAGACUCAAAUCUCUCCUGCUCCAAAAAUAAAGUCCGAUGACAGGCCCCCACCGCCUCACUCACUUGUACCAGACUUCAUUUACUCAGUCUAUAAACCCUGCAAAGGCAGGAAUCCUAUCACAGGCCACUUUCCCUCCCUAAGGUGCUGGGCUCUUGGUAGUCCCCAAGUUUCUAAAACAAGUAGAGUCAACUAUGAGACGAGGUGGGGCUGAGCUGGAGUGUCCAUCUUGGAACUAGACUAAGAAAUGGAGAAGGGUGGGCUGGAGAGAUGGCUCAGCGGUUAAGAGCACUGGCUGCUCUUCCAGAGGUCCUGAGUUCAAUUCCCAGCAACUACAUGGUGGCUCACAACCAUCUGUAAUGAGAUCUGGUGCCCUCUUCUGAAUUGAAAGCAUGUAUGUAGGCAGAACACUGUAUACAUAAUAAAUAAAUAAAUCUUAAAAAAAAAAGAAAGAAAGAAAGAAAGAAAUGGAGAAGGGCCCAUAGCCAGGCAACAUGUGUUUGUCUAAAAUUCCAGCACGUGGGAAACGGAGGCAGGAGGAUAAGGACUACAACGCCAUUCUUCUGCACAUGGAGUCUGAGGCUGCCUGGCUCUAUCAGACCCUCCAUUAAAAAGUAAAACAUAGGAAACAACAACAAACCCAAAUCACCCCCCACAGCGAACAAACAAGGACCAGCACAGGAAAGUCCAGCUUGAACUCUGAAAGCAGACCUGACCUCCACUUCCCGACAACCAGUUCUCCUUUUCCUCUGUCACCUGGCCCAGUUCUUGUCUUAACCUCUAAACGUCUUUCCAGAGUUGAGGGCUUUCUGCCCACCCAAACUCCCAGGGAACCUCCUGCUGCCCUGGCUCUAAGUUUCCUGCAAGAUGCUCACUGUAUCCUAAGGCUGCAUCUAUGACCCAAUGCCAAUGAGACGUCUCAAACUAACUACACUUCCAGAAAUAUGAACUUGACAUCUGAUGGUGAAUGUAGAUCUAUCACUGCAGUCCAUGCAUGACAAGUACAAAGUGCCCUUGGCCUCACUCAAAAAAAUAAAAAAUAAAAAAAGAGGAAGUAAA